rnacentral:tRNA from 1 species
GAGGAUAUAGUUUAAUUGCGUAAAACAUCCAAUAGUAAUUGGAAGAUGAAGGUUCGAAUCCUUUAAUCCUUACCA